rnacentral:rRNA from 1 species
AUGAUCAAGGCCGAGCCGGAGCUCCGUGGCCAGCUGCGCGGCGGCGGCGGCAUGCUGCAGCAGCGCUGCGACUCGUGCCGGUCGGCGCCGUGCGCGUUCUACUGCCGGGCCGACUCGGCGGCGCUCUGCGCCGCGUGCGACGCGGACGUGCACUCGGCCAACACGCUGGCCAGCCGCCACCGCCGCGUCCCGAUGGGCGCCGUGGCCCCGGCCUCCCCUGCCGGAGGCGCCUUCGUCGUCCGGCCCGGCGGCGUCAACUCCUCCUGGCCCAUCCGUGAGGGCCGGAGGUCCUACUACGACGACGGCGAGGGAGAGGAGGAGGAGGAGGAAGCGACGUCGUGGCUGCUGCUGGACCCGCUCCGGGGCCCGGAGGGGGAUGCGCCGGCGUUCGGCGACGCGCUCGUCGCUGACUUCCUUGACCUCGGACGAGCAGGCGAGAAGGACGCGUCGAGCAAGGAGUACCGCGGCCACGGGAUGGAGAGCAACGAGGGCAGCCACGAGCUCGUUGUGCCCGGCGAGCCGGUGGCGCAGCUGCAUGAGCGGCAGGGCUUCACGGCGGAGAUGCCGUACGAUGCACAAAAUUCUAACCAUGGGUACGGAUUUGGCGCAACAUUCCAACGCAGCCUUUCAAUGUCAUCAUCACCGGACAACAGUAGCACCGUCCAGGAUGUGACCAGCUCGUACAUGAGGCGCAGCGAGAGCAGCGUCGACCUCUUCUCAGCGGCGGCGCACAUGUCGCCGCAGUUCAUGGGCAUGGCGAUGGACAGGGAGGCCAGGGUGCACCGGUACAGGGAGAAGAGGAAGAUGAGGCGGUUCGAGAAGACCAUCAGGUACGCGUCGCGGAAGGCCUACGCCGAGACCAGGCCACGGAUCAAGGGGCGAUUCGCCAAGCGCGCCGACGCCGACCUCGAGGUGGACCAGUACUUCUCCGCAGCCGCGCUGUCCGACUCCAGCUGCGGCGUUGUGCCGACUUUCUAG